GUCCCUUCCAACUUUACAAUUCUGUGACUCAGUUCUAUGAUUAGUAAGAAUAGGACUAAAAAUUUCGUAGAAGACAUAGCAUAUAGAUGAUAUAGAAUAAUCCAAUCACAGAAUUGUAGAGUUGGAAGGGAC